rfam:Trichomalopsis sarcophagae strain Alberta scaffold5860, whole genome shotgun sequence.
CAAUCGGCCCUUUUCAGGGCCAUCAUAUUUUUUUAACGUAAAACAUU